rnacentral:rRNA from 1 species
CUCUCGGCAACGGAUAUCUAGGCUCUCGCAUCGAUGAAGAACGUAGCGAAAUGCGAUACUUGGUGUGAAUUGCAGAAUCCCGCGAAUCAUCGAGUUUUUGAACGCAAGUUGCGCCCGAAGCCUCGGCCGAGGGCACGUCUGCCUGGGUGUCACGCAUCGUUGCC